rnacentral:rRNA from 1 species
UACGAAGGGGGCUAGCGUUGUUCGGAUUUACUGGGCGUAAAGCGCACGUAGGCGGAUCGAUCAGUCAGGGGUGAAAUCCCAGGGCUCAACCCUGGAACUGCCUUUGAUACUGUCGAUCUGGAGUAUGGAAGAGGUGAGUGGAAUUCCGAGUGUAGAGGUGAAAUUCGUAGAUAUUCGGAGGAACACCAGUGGCGAAGGCGGCUCUCUGGAACGCAACUGACGCUGAGACGCGAAAGCGUGGGGAGCAAACAGG